GUCCACGCCCUAAACGAUGUCAACUAGGUGUUGGGGAAGGAGACUUUCUUAGUACCGCAGCUAACGCGUGAAGUUGACCGCCUGGGGAGUACGGUCGCAAGAUUAAAACUCAAAGGAAUUGACGGGGACCCCGCACAAGCGGUGGAUGAUGUGGAUUAAUUCGAUGCAACGCGAAAACCUUACCUACCCUUGACAUGCCAGGAAGUCUGGAGAGAUUCAGAGGUGCCCGAAAGGGAACCUGGACACAGGUGCUGCAUGGCUGUCGU
rnacentral:rRNA from 1 species